rnacentral:rRNA from 1 species
GUGAGGAAUUUUGCGCAAUGGGGGAAACCCUGACGCAGCAACGCCGCGUGAGUGAUGAAGGCCUUCGGGUCGUAAAGCUCUGUCAAGUGGGAAGAAACUGAGUAGUGAGAAUAUUGCUAUUCACUGACGGUACCGCUGAAGGAAGCACCGGCUAACUCCGUGCCAGCAGCCGCGGUAAUACGGGGGGUGCGAGCGUUAUUCGGAAUCAUUGGGCGUAAAGGGCGCGUAGGCGGCCACUUAAGUCAGGUGUGAAAUCCCGGGGCUUAACUCCGGAAGUGCAUUUGAUACUGAGAGGCUUGAGUAUGGGAGAGGAAAGUGGAAUUCCUGGUGUAGCGGUGAAAUGCGUAGAUAUCAGGAGGAACACCGGUGGCGAAGGCGGCUUUCUGGACCAAUACUGACGCUGAGGCGCGAAGGCGUGGGGAGCAAACAGGAUUAGAUACCCGUGUAGUCC